rnacentral:rRNA from 1 species
CCUACGGGUGGCAGCAGUGAGGAAUAUUGGUCAAUGGACGAGAGUCUGAACCAGCCAAGUAGCGUGAAGGAUGACUGCUCUAUGGGUUGUAAACUUCUUUUAUAUGGGAAUAAAAUGUUCCACGUGUGGGUUUUUGUAUGUACCAUAUGAAUAAGGAUCGGCUAACUCCGUGCCAGCAGCCGCGGUAAUACGGAGGAUCCGAGCGUUAUCCGGAUUUAUUUGGUUUAAAGGGAGCGUAGGUGGUUGGUUAAGUCAGUGGUGAAAGUUUGCGGCUCAACCGUGGAAUUGCAGUUGAAACUGGCAGUCUUGAGUACAGUAGCGGUGGGCGGAAUGCGUGGUGUAGCGGUGAAAUGCUUAGAGAUCACGAAGAACACCGAUUGCGAAGGCAGCUCACUGGACUGCAACUGACGCUGAGGCUCGAAAGUGUGGGGAUCAAACAGGAUUAGAUACCCGAGUAGUC